GCGCGAAAACUCCGCAAUGUGGGAAACCACGACGGGGGAACUCCAAGUGCCAGCACAGAGUGUUGGCUGUUUCCGAGUCUAAAAAACUCGGAGAGUAAGGGCUGGGUAAGACGGGUGCCAGCCGCCGCGGUAAUACCUGCAGCCCAAGUGGUGGUCGUUAUUAUUGGGCCUAAAGCGUCCGUAGCCGGCUGCGUAAAUGCCUGUGCAAAUCGUACGGCUUAACCGUGCGAAUAGCGGGUAGACUGCGCGGCUUGGGACCGGGAGAGGCACGAAGUACUCCAGGGGUAGAGGUGAAAUUCUGUAAUCCUUGGGGGACUACCGGUGGCGAAGGCGUCGUGCUAGAACGGCUCCGACGGUGAGGGACGAAGCCCUGGGGCGCAAACCGG
rnacentral:rRNA from 1 species